AUUGAACGCUGGCGGAAUGCUUUACACAUGCAAGUCGAACGGCAGCACGGACUUCGGUCUGGUGGCGAGUGGCGAACGGGUGAGUAAUACAUCGGAACGUGCCCAGUCGUGGGGGAUAACGUAGCGAAAGCUACGCUAAUACCGCAUACGAUCUAAGGAUGAAAGCGGGGGAUCGCAAGACCUCGCGCGAUUGGAGCGGCCGAUGGCAGAUUAGGUAGUUGGUGGGGUAAAGGCUCACCAAGCCGACGAUCUGUAGCUGGUCUGAGAGGACGACCAGCCACACUGGAACUGAGACACGGUCCAGACUCCUACGGGAGGCAGCAGUGGGGAAUUUUGGACAAUGGGGGCAACCCUGAUCCAGCCAUUCCGCGUGAGUGAAGAAGGCCU
rnacentral:rRNA from 1 species